AAGUCAGUGAGACCAAGAACCUACCAAUUCCGGACACAUAGAUUCAAGACAUCAGUGGAAAAAUAAACUCCAUGUAAUGGGAAUAGCAAGAAAAAUAGCACUAGAAGUGGACCUUGAAGAUUUGACUGACCUGUGGAAAUCUCAUAGUAAAACCUGAAUGGAAGAAGAGUUGGUUCUUACAGCCUGGGGCAAGACAACACCAAAUGCCACACAGGAAAACAUGAAGGUUGCAUUUUGGAAACAGAGUGAAGCUGGAGUUUGGGAAGGCAGAUUUGCAGUAUCAAG
rnacentral:lncRNA from 1 species